rnacentral:lncRNA from 1 species
AACGUUAGUUUACGACGAAAACGCUGCAUCUUUGAGUUUUAAGUCGAUCAUGGAUACAUUUCGAGUCAUUCAUCGAGGAACCUGCACUAUUUCCCAGUCCAGUGACAGUUUUCAGGACCCUUGCUCUCUAUGGAGGAUGAGAAAGCUCCAGGAUUUCAUCUAAAAUAUCUUCAUUUGUGUGCUGAAGAUUGAAACGACACCAUGAACAGCGUACGGAUCUCACAGAUUUCAAGACUCUUGCUGUCUGUGGAGGAUGAGAGAGCUCCAGGAUUUCAUCUAAAAUAUCUUCAUCUGUGUCCUGAAGCUCUCUGAGGAUUCAAAUGACACCAGGAUAUGAGUUUUCUUGGUUCUGGGGAGCGAUGAUGAUGAUGAUGUGCAGGCGUCCCAGACUGUGGACUCUCCCCAAACAUCUCUUAUGGAUAUCAGGGGAUCGGAUAUCCUACAUUUGCCCAUGAAGGCCGAACAUUGCAGAUAGGCUCUUUCUUAAUUUCCUUUAAAUUCUUCUUUGUGAUGAAUGUGGGUCAUAUUUCUGGCGUUUCACGUCCUCUCCGGACACAUAAAGUAGAUUUGAGUUGAAACCCGACGCUGGACUCCUGAGGAACCCGAUAUUGAUGAGUUCAACUGGACGCAUCAGUCCUGAUUACAGGCUCCAGGCCUCUCAUUACAGCUCGUGUGAACUCAGGCUAUAGAAUAUAUGGGAUAUUUAUAAACUUAUUAUCUUGUAUGUAUAAUAAACUUCAUAUCUGAGUUACAAAACC